rnacentral:rRNA from 1 species
AACCAACGCUGGCGGCGUGCCUAAUACAUGCAAGUCGAACGGGGGAAGCUUUCGGGUGAGUACUAGUGGCGCACGGGUGAGGAACGCGUGGAUAAUCUGCCUUAGAGUGGGGGAUAACUAGUCGAAAGAUUAGCUAAUACCGCAUAAGACCACGAGAGCUGCGGCUUUUGAGGUCAAAGGUUUUUCGCUCUAAGAUGAGUCCGCGUAAGAUUAGCUAGUUGGUGAGGUAACGGCUCACCAAGGCGACGAUCUUUAACUGGUCUGAGAGGAUGAUCAGUCACACUGGAACUGAGACACGGUCCAGACUCCUACGGGAGGCAGCAGUAGGGAAUAUUGCACAAUGGAGGAAACUCUGAUGCAGCGACGCCGCGUGAGUGAUGAAGGCCUUCGGGUCGUAAAGCUCUGUCGCAGGGGAAUAACACAAUGAAGGUACCCUGUAAGAAAGGAUCGGCUAACUUCGUG